ensembl:lncRNA
CGGCCAUCAGACGGCGAUGAAGAGCAUAUGCUCUCAUUGAAGGCAAUUUAUCUAUAUCCUCUGAAACUCUCUUGGCUAAAAUACGUUGAUUGUAAACACUAUGUUAAGUAAAGCAUGCCCAGACACUUGAUUGUCCGUUUAUGGUGGUUUUAUGCGAUCAAACGUUGACGACAAAAACAACAAAGUUCCACGGUGGCCAGAGAAAAUCAGUCCUGACUUGAGGGCCGUUCCAAAGCGUUUUGUCAGGCAACUCUGGACAAGAACGGUGAGCCUCCACGAGGAAGACUGGUGUCCACGGCAACCCAUCCUCAUCAGGGUCUCCAGCCUUUUCUUCAAGGUCUCAUACCCGCUCUCUCUCUCUCUCUCUCUCUCUCUCUCUCUCUCUCUCUCUCUCUCUCUCUCUCUCUCUCUCUCUCUCUCUCUCUUCCUCCCUUCACCACAAGUUCACACGAGAAUGAAAGGGGGGCUGAAGAGAAAAGGGAAGAAAACUAAAACAAGAUGCUGGAAUCAAAUGCGCCAUAACGUUUUUUGACUGCUCUUGCACUAUUUUUACAGAGGGGGUUUGAAGCAGGGCUGGGCUGCUUCCUGAAUAUCUUAGAGCUUCCUCAGUGUCUUUAUCUACAAUUUCACUUAUUUACACAUCAGUGCAGGAACAUCUGCUUCAACACUUGCCCCAAAUCUAUGAAGUGAUGUUUUGCAAUAUACCAUUUAAUUUUUAAUGCUGAUAUUCAGUUCUCCUUCAAAACACAAGAACUUUCAUAGAUCAGGGCCUUUUGAUGACAACUAAACAACAUCCAAUCGCCCGGAAAUCUACUGGAUUUCAAGAGAUAAACAAAACCAUUGCAAGCAAACAAACUAAUGAUAAACAGUAGAAAACUAUACAAUAUCUUACAUUGCAGUAGCAUGGAGGAAUCAAGGCUUCUCGUACAUCCCCUUGUGAUAAACAAGUCCAAAUGUAAAUAAUCCAAGAGCCAUGUGAGGAAAUAUAAGAAAAAACUAAUGUUUAAGAAAGACAUUUUAAAAAUAUGUAUUGAUAAUAUAUAAUAAUAUUUUGAUAUUCUGUUUGCAUAGUGUUUGAUUUGUCAUCGUGCUAAACCAACAAAAAUAUGAACCCAUUAAAAUGGGAUUGCAGCCGAACAGCUGUCAAACAAAAACAAUGUUCCAGUUGCCUCAUACAAUUGCUCUCGAGUGGAUGCCUGCAUUGUUGCUGCUCUAUUCUGCCUGAGAAAGUUGUUGUGCACCUGGAUGUGUUCAUCGCCACGACAAGAUGAGCUGGCCCUGUGCCUUGUGCUUUCCCACUUCACUCACUGCCAAAGACUACAUGUAUUGAUUCUCAAUACAUCAGCCUAAUUAUUACCGAGGAGCGAUUCUGCAGGAUCUCUGUUGUGAAGAAUUACAGGAAAUGGAGAGAAUGGGCAAUAAUGUUUUGUUUUGGAUGUGACCAUAAAACAAUCCAGUUCCCAUCAUGUUCAUAAUCAAACUUACAAAUUAAAAUAUUAGUUUAUUUCAUUUCGAUUUAGCUACCAAGGAAACCGAGCUACCGAGCAAAAUUACUGUUGGUACUGUGGUCAUAUCUCUAGGUUUGUAUUUCAUAUAUCUGCAUUUAUUUUUGACAAGAGACAGUAAUAUUAAAUUAAGUUAUUUUCAUAAGAAAAACUAACAUUUGUUGGCCAUACCAACACUUUUCGGAAAGGUA